UGAUCAGGGACUCUGCCUGGGGAGGUGGAGCCCAUGUCUGGAGCAGCUUUAUCCCCAGGGAGUUGUGCCCUGUGGGGAGAAGGUGAUGCUGGAGCAGAAUGCCGAGGAGGAAGCAGCUGCAGGCAGGUACUGCUGGGCCCAGUGCCUCUGUGCCACACAGGGCAGAUUCCCAAGGAAAAAUGCCUUAGGAAGUGCUCCCUCAUUGUCUCUGAUCAAAAUGUGUCUGCUGGCAGCUGCUCUUCAAACACUUUGCACAAACAGGCACAGGCUGAUCCUUGGUUUUGUGCUCUUCCUACAAGUGGGAGCCACAGGACACCUGCCACUGUCUGUUCCUUCAUCAAAGGAUGAGAAGCAUGGGCACCUGCAGCACCUUCAGAGGCAAAACCAGCUGGAAUGAAAGCACAGCCCUCUUUCCAUUAAUAGCUUCCCAACAACGAUUGAGAGAUGGGCUUUAGGGACAUGGGCAGCUCUUCCAGGUCCUCCUUACUAAAAUCCUGAAGGUGGAGAAAAUCUUGUUGAUGUAACAACAGAGGUACUCCAGUGUCUCCCAGUUUAAUCCUCAGAUUUCUGUUCUCAAGGACUUUGGCAUUUUGUCAGUUUUUUACCCACAUCAUGUAACAAGCACUUUUUUCUACACUCUGUUUACACCCUAUGAGAUGCUGGCUGUGCAUUGGGAAAUGCUGUCCCAGCUCGUGAGUCUGAUGGUUAUGUGCCCUGUUCCCCUCUCAGCAAAGGAAAGGGGCCUUUUGCCCAAGCACUCAAAGCAGCAGGCUGGAUGGAGCUCCCUGAUGAUAAGUUCAUGCCUUGAUCUGAUGGCAUUUUAAGACUGGCAUCAAAACAACAGUUUGUCAGAAUGAGUAUUCACCUCACAAAGCCUCCAGUUUGUGACCCGGCCAAAAAGGGAGAGUAAUUCAUGAGUGUAACUGUGGCUGUUGCCCUUGUUGCAGUAACCAGGGUGAUUUUGUGCCUGAAAGAUCAGAAGAGGAUGAGUCCAGGGUUAAUGGCACUCAGGACCUAUGAACCAAUGUCACCCUGCAAACUUUGCAGGCCACCAGCAUGACACACAGUGCUUUUAUGCAGAUUCUGGGCUCCCGAAGAUGUGAGUGUGCAGGUCUGCUGUUAACCUCACAAAACACCCCAUUGCUGACAGGGUGCAGCAGGGAUGGCCACUCUGCAAGGGACAGGGAUCCAGGAGCCAAGUGUGACUCUGGCACUGGCAGCUGUGGCCUCUCUUGCAAGGAUCCAGGUGUGGUGGCAACCCUGGGUCAGGAUCACAGACUGCUGGUGUGCUGUAGCUUAAAAGCAGCUCCUAAGGGAAAACAGGGUCUAGCUCUUGCUUCCAGCUCUCUUCAUGCUGCCUGCCACCAGCAGAGGAGGUGACCUUGGGCUCAGCAGCUCGGCAGCCCUGAGCUCCAGCCCAGUGCAUCCAGCUGUGAGCAGGGCAGACACACCCAAACUCCAGGUAACUUCAUGCUAAAUGGAUGGUUUAAAUGUGUGGGGCUCUUUUCCUCUCUCCAGCGUUCUAGAAAUGUAACUGAUUGUCUGAAGUGCAAUCAGUGCACACUUGACUUUUGAAAAAGAUACACAUAAAAGUGUUAUAGAAGGCAAUUCACUGAAGUCAAGUGUGCUUGAAUCACAUUUUAGAUAAUUGGUUGGAUUAAAUAAAAACUGUCAGUAAUUACAAAAGUAUGGUUUGAUUUUGAUUCUGCUCUGCAUUUUGUCCGUUUUUAAGCUUGAUUCUUUUUGUACCUCACUGAAGUACUUUUCCUUUAUCUUUGCUUCUUUGUUUUCUACUUAAUAGUCACUGUUUCCAUUCAGUAAAUGCUUUUCUUCACUUUUCAGUAUGUUAUUAACAAGUUCUUUCUGUCCUCAUCUUGCUUUUCCUUAGUAGUCUUCACUUGACUAUUACCUUUGGUUUUAUUUAUUCUUAAUGGCCUCAAUUAGAAAACAGUUACCAGAGCACUUAUUUAAACCCAGCUUAACCAUGUGUUGAGCCACUACCUGAUUUAGCAUGCUUAAACUUGUUAAUUUACUUGAAGAAUUGGGAUAACAAUGACUCUGUUAUGUACUCCAAAUUAACUUCAUUUCUGUUUGCCAUAAAUGGUUUAUCUCCAACAGUGGAAAUGUUGCCAGGUAAAAUUUAGACUGAGGGGGAGACAGAAAUAUGAAUGACAGUACAGUUUCCAUCUAGCCCAUUGCAUGUUAGCAAACUUGAUGUCACAAAACUCUCUUGGUGAAGGUAAAGGCAAGGGAAGCAAAGGCAAAGGGAAGAACAAAACCCAUAUUCGAGAUUCCCAAGGAAUAUACACAACAUAGGCUUGGAUGCAUUUCUGUGGUAUGUCCCAGUAGUGUGAUAAGAUUCUGAAUAAAGUCCCAGCAGAGGGAUCAUUACCUGUCUGGACAUCUUACUGUUACAUUUGUCUAUCUCACAUUUUUAAAAUUCUCUGGGGCCUCAGUAUCAUCAUGAGAUGCCACUCAAAGUUCUUUCUAAGGCUGAGCAUUGGAAAUGACCACAGAUCCAUUUCAUGAUUUUAUCUCAUGACCAACUGUAGCCCAGGAUCUUUCCUCUUAAGACUUUGGAUAUGAAAAGCUAAAUAUUUAUAUGUGCGCUUCUGCAUACAAUUGCCCAGGGGAUCUGUUACAGUUUAUUUGUAUUCCUGAUCAGUGGCUCUGUUGCUGAAAUAAUUUUGGUAAUACAAAUUUUUUUUCCCAAGCUUUUCAAUGGCCUCAAGUAUUGUAUGCACAUCAUUCUCACCCAUAUUAUAUGCUUGUCAAAGCAAGCUCAAGCAGAGAACUAAUGUUAAAACCACAUGGAAAUGUUAAAAGAAUUUAGGACAAACAGGAGUGCUCCUCAUCCAGCAAGCUUCUUGCUUGAGGGAAUAUGGGUACACAACUUCCCUCACGGCUGGCUGUGGGUAGCAAAUCAUUUGAUACAGAGUAAUUGGAAGGACUGGGUGCUACAAUAAAUGCUGUGGUGAAGAAGAAACACCAACACUUAUAAGUAAAAUUUAGGGCCAGCCCCUCAGCGGAAAUUUAAACUAGAUGAAGCUUUCCUCCUACAUAUUGACUUAGGCAUUUUGAUUCAAAAAAAUUGUUGAGCUACACUUGGGGGGGGUUUCUGAGUAUUUCUUGGUUUUAAAUGGUAUUUAUCAGGAUCAUUCUGUCGCUUGACAUUUAAGCAAAUGGGAGCAUAAUACGCUUUCUGAAAUAUGUAAAUUGGAAGCAUCUAUGAAUGGGUACUGAAUACUCAGUCACUGACUAGAAUUUAGGCUGCAAUUAACUAAACUAACAUUUAUUUAUUUUAGGUGCAUACCUUCUAAUGGAAUGCUUCACACAUAAGUAAUUAACAUUAUGUCACAGGGACAAAUGCAAAUGUAUGUGAUUCAUUUUUUGCCAUACAGAUUUUUCUAUUGACAAAAAAUAUGGUUUUUCUCUGCCUGUCUCUAUUAGAGUUUCCAUUUUCUAUACUCUGUUUACCGUUUGUUGCAAAUUAAACCAUGUCAAACUGACAAGCUACAGGUUUUUUCUAAAAUUACUGGCUUGUUAGGGGUGAAAAAACUUCUUUUGGAAAAAAAAAUGAAUGUGCUUUUUCAGCAACAAGACUUAAAUGAAAGCAAUUCUUCCAUGCCGUUGGCACAAAUGAAUUUGGCUCAAGUGAAAAGCAAAUUAAACCUAUUGUACGUACUUCUUUCAUUAAAGGCAAAAUAUAUAUUUCUGCAAGUUAUUGAUUGUGUUUCCACAUAUUUGUGUUUGUUUUGCUAUCCGACAGAUUACACAGAGUUCAGUGCCCCAAAUCUGACCCGCCUUGAGUCAUUCAUUCAAAUCUCCUGGGUCAGGUAUCAGCUUACAGUAAAGUGCACUGAAGCUUCUCUCAUUAGCCUCAAAUCCCAGCGACAGAGAAGCCACUCCCCUUCAGUUCAAGCCUUGUAUUUUUGGACCCUAGUGGUAUGUUAAUGCUGCAUUUUCUGUAUGUGCAUACACAAAUCUAUUUUUCCAGCAUUUCAACUUGAAAAUGAAAAUAUGCAACUGCUAAUGAGAGAGUCUAAGUGAGCCAUGGGAAGUGAGGGAGUAGGAAACAUUCAUUGCCAUUGCUCUUGGGACUCUUCCUGCUCUAGGACUUGGUUCAGGAUAAUUGAAUGGCUGUGCUGAUAAAUCUCAAAGCACUUCCUGCCAUGAUAGUCUCGCCUGAGAUGAUGAUAUGUGUGUGAGGCCUUCAGCCAGGUGCCUGACAUGCUUCUGCUCUCUGCUGAGCCUCUCCCCAGGCUCACAGUUCAGUGUAAAUAACUUGGCUGGUUAAAACCGAAGUACAAGGACGGCUCCAAUGUUAUUAUGGUGAAGAUCUAUGGGCACAAAUGUCAGUAAGGAAGCAGGAAAAGAUGAAAACACCAUCAUAUAAAUGCAUGCUGGUUGCAUGUUGGUCCAAAACCAAGGGAACGAGGAUGAUGGCAUCCAAAAGUGACCAGGACAAUUUGAUGAUUAUGUAAUUGCUGGAACCAAAUCUUACAAGAAGUGAAAAAAAUCUGAAAGACUUAGAGGAAAUGCUCCUGGAUCUGAAUCCUGAUUUCCCCACUGUACAGCUGCUUAUGGCCUCUAAUUCCCAUCCAUCUACAACAAAAGAUGAAAUUACAAUAGCUUUCUUUCCAGACUGAUUAAAUGGAGCAGGAAAAUAGACAACAGAACUGGUAAUACAUUAUAAUUAGAGACUUGUUUCAAUGUAAUAAUCUAAGGCAUAAUUUGUGGCAUAAAUUCUAUUUCAGGAAAACACUUAAGCAUAUAUUUAAGUCUAUCUUUAUUGACACAAUGCAUUUAAACAUAUGUUUCAGUUGAAAUGUGGGCUUAAAGUCAAAUUAAAUAUAAUAUUGAAAUAUA